ACCCCGGUAUUAUUGCUGUUAUGGGUUUGAAUCGAGCUUAGCCUUGUUCAUUUUUUUACACAACACCCCCGUAAAAAAUACAACACGGCCCGCUCAAGCCUGCGAGUCCCAAGCUCGUCAAAAUGAAAAAACCGCCCCAAAAAGCCCCAAAAAAGCCGUCGCGGUGCUUUUUUAGGGCAA
rnacentral:sRNA from 1 species